GAUGAACGCUGGCGGCGUGCCUAAUACAUGCAAGUCGAACGAGGCCCUUUGUAUUCGUACGAAGGUGUCCUAGUGGCGAACGGGUGAGUAACACGUAGGUGACCUGCCCCGAAGCGGGGGACAACUCCGGGAAACUGGAGCUAAUACCCCAUGUUCUCCAUGGUGUUAGAGGACCAUGGAGCAAAGGAGCAAUCCACUUUGGGAGGGGCCUGCGGCCCAUUAGCUAGUUGGUAGGGUAAUGGCCUACCAAGGCUAUGACGGGUUGGGGACCUGAGAGGGUGGUCCCCCACACUGGAACUGAAACACGGACCAGACACCUACGGGUGGCAGCAGUAGGGAAUAUUGCACAAUGGGCGAAAGCCUGAUGCAGCAACGCCGCGUGCGCGAUGAAGGCCUUCGGGUUGUAAAGCGCUUUUCUGGGGGAAGAGGAAG
rnacentral:rRNA from 1 species